ensembl:lncRNA
GUAAGUACAGAGCUGGCUGGGAGGGCGCCGUUGGGUAAGGCAGCACGGGAGGACACCUGGAGUGGCCUUGUCAGGUCUCCCGAUGGCUUAGAAGGGUCUCCAUGGGGAGCCAUGCUACCUGAUAGACAGUCCACACUCCAUAAGUCUGCCUCUUUUCUCUGAUCCCUUCUCCCCUCUGUCUACAAACCCUUCCUGAUGCCCGGGUCAUGCAAUUAAAUACUAUUUUUAAAACCAAGUUUUAUCUACGCUCCCUGUGGGUUAUCUCAGCUCCUACAGAGGCUCAGGAAACUGUGACGGCACGAUCGUCACACUGACUUGACAGGAGGCAGCCUGGGAAGUCAUGAUGGAAGAGGCUGCUCUCUUCCUGGCCUGGCCCCUCUUGGGGGUUCAGUGCUCGUCUCUGAAGUCACUGAGGUUUUUGUUGCAGUUUCCCUACGGUAUAGAGCGUGCCCUACAUCGCAGGGCUGGGCUAAGACGGAUUUCUGGCUUUCUUUUCUCAAAAAAUCAUGCUCAUUCAGGCACUGGCGAAUAUAGGUUCUGGUACUGAAGAUGAGCUGUCUGUUAAACUCUGAAUAGGGCUAUUCUCUCUGCAAUUAGAGACUUUUGGCUCAAACAAGAUCUUUUCUGGGAAGCCAUAAGCCUGUAUUCUGAUAUUUCAACAUUUCACCCCUCAUCCUCCCCACCAGCCCUCACUAGGGUUCAUAUCGUCCUAGAAAUGGAACACCACCACAAAGCAGUCACCCACAUGGAUUCUCCCACUUUGCAGGCUUAAGAUAAUGAAGUCAAACACACAUACACAGGCUCCAAAUACCUUUGGUAGAGCUUUACACCCAUAUGUGUGAAGGGCCAUUUCCAAACGGAAUAAUAACUGGAAGGCACGACUAAACCACUGGAAUAAAAUCCCCCUUUGGAUUAGGUAUCAGCAAAGUAAAUUAGUAACAUCUGAGCGCCUGUUAAGACUAGAGAUUCGCCGUUUGCUGGGACUGGCGUUUAUUUCAUUAUUGAAAAGGAAGGGAAAAAACAGAAGGAAUCAAGUCAGCUGUACUGAGUGUCGAUGACACACGUGCCUCCCAUUUUUGAAGCUCUUCUCCCUGGCGCCUCAGUGUACUGUCUGAGCUGCCCCUGGGCUACAACCGUGAUUAAGAGGAGAGGUCUCUCUUUUGAAGGGGUUGGUGGUCUCUUGAGCUGAGGAAGUGGAACACGGGCUCCCUAGCCUCCUUCGUGACUUUGAUCACCAAGUCCCCCGUUACGUUGGAAGAUUAAAGGCAUGUGGACGCCUGGGGGAGGGCAGCCUGGAGGUGACAUUCAAAAGCUCGAUUAGUCUUCUGCGGAUCAGUUGUCUACAGGCUUCCAGAACAGCCCUCCAGACCACAUUUUAGGACACGGCUGCCAGCAGCUGCUGUCUUGACCUGACCAGGAAGUUGCUGCUCCCCUCUGACUCCAGGACCACCCACCCCUGCCAUGGUCUGCACCAGCAAAAUGGACACCUUGCAUCCUACCCCUCUUCCCACGCAACUCAGAGCCUCGGUCUCCUCAUUUAUAAACUGAGUGGCAUCCACCUCCAGGUCAUAUGUAAUACAUUUCACAGCUGGUGUGUCAUAGGCACAGGACAGUGAGGAUGGCCGUAGAUUGUAAAUCGCUCAUUAGGACUUACUGGUGCCAACCAGCUGAAUACCAACCCUCCUGGCAGUAUCACCAGAAAUGCCAAGUGGCAAGGGUUAUCUGGAUGGUCCCGGGUGCAUAGAGCAUGAGUGGUUUGACUGAGAUUACACAGGCCAGUGGUUAGAAUGUGGUGAGAAUUCCAUGAACACCCCCAAGACCUUUAGAGAGAGAAUGCUCUUGCAGAUUUGGAGGAGAAACCCAGGAUGCAUCUGGACCAUCCACCUGAGUGCAAUGCUCCCACACAAGGAGGACGGCUGGGCAAGGAGCUGAGCGCUCAGUCAAGGAUGAUGCUGCUCCAUUGCUCCCCUCUUGUUCUGGUGAAACAGGUGGAUGGAUUUGAGCCUGAGAGAUAACAAGCAAGGAGAAUAACUGGGAGCAUUAGGCUUUGGGGUGCCCUCUGCUUGAGCAUGACGGGCACUCAUCCUGUCUGAGGUGAAGGGUGGGUGCUCACGAGGUGCGGGAGGGAAGGGACACCCUGCUUCAGAUGCCCCAGUCAGCGCCGUCCUCCUGGUGACUCCUUAAUUUCACCAUUUAAACACAGCUCCUUUUUCUCUCCUUUCUUACCUUUUUUUGAAUGGGUUGUCUUUCUUUGCUUGCUUGCUUGCUUUUCUUAUUCCAUUUCCCCCUCUUUCCUGGCUGGGAAGUUGUACCCUCAAUUUCUACCUUUUUUUUAGUAUUUGUCCUUGAAACUUUAACAUGUAUGCUUAACUUACCAAAGUACAAAUUUAAUCGUAUCUUAAUUCCUUUCCUGUCAAUGUGAGGACAUUGGACCUCCUUAACUCAGAUCCCCCUACCCUUACUUCUAAGCUAUUGUUGAAUGUCUUAAUGCCAUUUUUUACCCUAAAAAUUAGAAAUUGUUAUGAUUUUACACAAUUAGUGUUCAUACGUACUUCCCUGUUUACCAAUUUCUUUACUCACAGGCCUUUCCAGACUCAUCUUUUCUUCUUAGGUUGUCCUUCCUCGAGUGCAGGUCCUUUUGGUGGUCAUCUCCGUCUGUCUGGUCAUUUCUCCUGUUUUCUUGACAGUUUACUGGUGAGGUCCUUCUAGGCUGGUGGUUAUUUUGUCUCAGCAGAGAUUUUCCAGCCCUCUCCUGGCUUCCUAUGUAGUUCUAGGCAAGUUGGCUAUUGGUCUAAUCGUCAUGACUUGUAACCAAGAUGUCCUUCUUCUCUGGCUGCUUUUGGGAUCAUCUCUGUCUUUCUUGUUUUGUGGUUUUACUACAGUAUGUCUAGAUGGAGAUUUCUCUUCAUUUAUCUAUGCGCUUCUUAUCUGUGUAUUGUCUCAUGAAUUUUACAGCAUCUCAGCGGCUAUGUCCUUACAUUUUCUCUAUUAUUUCCUUUCGAAUUGGACACAUGUUAGACCGUCUCAUUCUAUCUUCCCUCUCUCUUUGCUUUCAUUUUUUUCUGUUUCAUGCCUCUAUGUGCUUAAUGGCGGGUAAUUUCCUUGGCUCUGUCUUCUCCCCGAUUGUGGCUUCUUUUCUCAAUGUAUCUAAUCUUCUGUUUGGCCAGCUUAUUGUUUUUAAUUUUAAUAAUAUUUAAUAAUAUUUUAAUUUUAAUAAUAAUAAUAUUUAAUAAUAUUGUUUUUAAUUUUAAUAAUAUUUCCAUUCUAAGAUUCUCAUAUGAGUCAUUUUUCAAAUCUUCCUGGUGCUGUGUUUCUUUCUCCUUUUCUAAUUCCAUCUUUUCCUUUAAACAUUUUUUACGGGGUCAUUUUGUCCCCAGUGGUUCCGGUAGCUGGAGCCCUUCGGGAUGUAUUCUGUGGUGUGUUGUUUCUCCUGAUUCCACCCAUGUUCAUUUAUUUCCCUCUUUAUUUGUUCAUUUUUAAUGGAGGGAUAAUAUUUGAUUGAACUUAAUUUGUUCCUCCAGAGAAUUGUGCUUUCUUGGGCAUUGUGUCAUGCUGCUGCCAACCUGGCACUACUUCGUUUUACUUUUUUUUUUACUUUCACAGAUCUGAAGGGGGAGCGGGAGGGAAUAAGGACGGAGAGGAGACCAGUCUCUCCGGAACACCGGGUGCACUAGGGCGGGUCCCUCUGCCCUGUAAGAGUUGGGUGGUGGGCAUUUACCCGUGUGAGCACCGUGCCCUCACAGGCUGUUGGCACUUGGGGAGCAAGGGCAGAGGGGAAAAUGAGGAAGGGAGUCUGGAGACCUUACAUGCUGAGUUGGGUUUGUUUUUCAGAAGGAGGGAGGAUGCUGUGAGCUGCAAAUUAGUUCGGGGAGCAGGUCACCCUGAGCAGCCGUGGAGGGCUGUGAAAGAGGCACAGGUGGCAGGGCACCAGUGCGGGACUCGAGGGCUUUGGCAGUGAGUGUGCCGGCUGCUAGGAGCCACAGGCUGUUCUAGAGGAGAGGAGGGUUGCAGCCCAAGUGGCACUGGAUUGGGGAAGGGGGUCCUACACACAUUGGUCAGAAGACAAUCACCGUGGAAAGGAGAAAGAGGAGCCAAUGAUAGUACUAAGCUCUGCCCAGAGCGAGUGCUGGUUUCGUCUUCCCUUCUCCCUCCUCCAGGAUGCCUCCUCCAGGAAGCCUGCCGGGAUAGCAGUCUUCUCCACCGGCAGCUCAGAGCCUGGUUGGGCCUGGUCUCCAGGUGGCCUUGGCGUGUGUGUCCCUGGCUCUGGGUCUUACUCAGGACGAGGGGCGAGGGCCGGGGGUCCCUGCGGCCUUGGAGACCCGGGCCGCUGCCCCCAGCGAAUGUUUGAAUUUUUAUGCUAAAGCUGGGUUGCACGAGGGCUGUAAAUGUGACCUCCACAGCAGGGUCAGAUAAGGCCUGUGGAUGCAUGUUUCCAGAAGAACAUACUGUUAUCCACCUUUUCCACCUGGGGUCACGAUGGAGAUAAUCCAAAUUGUGGGGAGCCUUCCUCUGCUGGGGGGUGAAUCAUUUUUCUGUCCUCACCGCUGGAGGCUGAGGUUCGCUCCCUUUCUUUGCACGGUCCAGCUCUGUCUCGGUCCCCGUGCUGGUGGAAGCAGUGACCAUGACCUGCAGGGCCAACCAUUGUUUGUUUUUUGGGUUAUUUUUGGUUUUGUUUUCCAUUUAUUGUUUAUUGACCUGGUUUUAGCUCACUGCUCCUUUUUUUUUUUUUUUUUUUUUGGUGAGGAAGAUUGGCCCUACGUGAACAUCUGUGCCAGUCUUCCUCUCUUUUGUAGGCGGGACACCGCCACAGCGUGGCUUGAUGAGAAGUGCAUAGGUUCACACCAGGGAUGCGAACCCUGGGCCACCAAAUGGGAGCACUUGAACUUAACCACUAUGCCACGGACUGGCACCUCACUGCUCCUAUUGUUUUGCCCCUUGAACCUGAGUGGUUCCCCAUAUGUUCAUUUGAGCUCAGCAAUAAUUUAACUUUCUUCCCAGUUUUAUCGAGAUGUGAGAUAUAAUCGACAUAUAAGAUUGUAUUAGUUUUAGGUGUACAACGUAAUGUUUGACAUAUGUAUGUGGUGCAAAAGGACCACCACAGUAAGUUUAGUUAACAUUGAUCACCUCACCUAGGUACAAAGAUACUUUUCCUUGUCAUGAGAACUUUUAAGCUCAACUUUCUUGGGAAAAAAAAAAGCAUAUAUAUUACACAAAUUUAUUAUAAAUUUUGCUGCUGUAAAUGACGUAUAACCUGUAGUCAUCACACUGUACGUCACAUCCCCAGGACUUACUUGUCUUAUAACUGGAAAUUUGUACCUUUUGACCAACAAUUCCCCUGCCUCUUGCAACCACAAAUAUAAUCUCUGUUUCUAUUACUUUGGGUUUUUUUGGAUUCCACAUAUAAGUGAGAUCAUACAGUAUUUGUCUUUCUCUGUCUGACUUAUUUCACUUAGCAUAAUGCCCUGGAGGUCCAUCCAUGUCGUUGCAAAUGGCAGGAUCGCCUUCUUUUUUAUGCCUGAAUAGUAUUCCACGGUGUACAUAUUCCAUGUCUUAUUUAUCCAGUCAACCACCAGUGGACACUUAGGUUAUUUCUGUGUCUUGGCUGUUGUAAAUAAUUCAGCAGUACUUUAAAUAGUGUUUGUCACAAUUAAUCCAGGAUCUGGUCUUCUCAGGAAGGAGCAAUCCAUCAUCCUAUCAGAAGAGGAAUUCCCACAAGUAUGCUGUUUUAUUAAUCCUUCAUACCCCACUUAAACCCCAAAUUAGUUUGGGUGGCUUACAGACAGUGGCGAGCCAGAGUCAUCCUGUACUGGCUUAUGAGAAAUUUAUAGGAAUCUUGCAAGUCAUUUGUUAAACACAGCCAUUAUUAAAAGUUAAAUUACAUAAACUUACAAUUAAAUAAAUUACAUUAAAAAUAAAGGUAAUAAAUACUCAAACUCAUCACUUCCUAGUCCCGUUUCACUGUUACGUAUACUGUUGAGGUUCUUUGUGUCCAUUGUAUCUGUGUUGUGAAAAUGCUACAGACUGGAGUCCUCUUGUGCAUCUCUUCCCGAUCCGUGUUCAGUGACCUCACGUGGGUAUCCUUAAAUCGGCCACGGCGGGAGUAUUUACACCAUGGAAAUGGGCAAACACUACAGGUCAAGGCUUCAUUGAUCACUUUAUUGAUGUCUAGACUUCACAAAGUGAUGGAUAGAAUGGUAACAGUGCAGAAUAGACUUUAAAGUGUGCCGUGUCUCUAGUAGUUACAUUCUGAGUAGCACAAAAAAUUGGGGAAGUAGUCCGCCGGUAUUUGAAAACAACCAAUUUAGCAAAAAAGUGGCUCACAUCAUUGAGGAAUGAGUGAAGUUCUGACAUAAGACAUAGGUGUUUCUUGUUUCACUUCCUCUUCCUUGUUAAAGUAAAUAAAAGUAUCAACCGACAUUCGUGUCUCAACU